rnacentral:tRNA from 1 species
GCCCCGUUAGCUCAGUGGAUAGAGCGUCUGCCUCCGGAGCAGAAGGCCACAGGUUCGAAUCCUGUACGGGGCA